AUACGGAGGAUGCGAGCGUUAUCCGGAAUCAUUGGGUUUAAAGGGUGCGUAGGCGGCCUUUCAAGCCCGGGGUGAAAAUCUGGGGCCCAACCCCAGACCUGCCUCGGGAACUGGCUGGCUGGAGUACGCUUGCCGCGGGAGGAAUGAGUGGUGUAGCGGUGAAAUGCAUAGAUAUCACUCAGAACACCGAUUGCGAAGGCAUCCCGCGAAGGCGCGACUGACGCUGAGGCACGAAAGCGUGGGGAUCGAACAGGAUUAGAUACCCUGGUAGUCCACGCAGUAAACGAUGAUAGCUAGCCGUUGGCCCGUUAAAGUGGUCAGUGGCCGAGCGAAAGCGAUAAGCUAUCCACCUGGGGAGUACGGCCGCAAGGCUGAAACUCAAAGGAAUUGACGGGG
rnacentral:rRNA from 1 species